CGAGCCCCACAUCAGGCUCCCUGCUCAGCAGGAAGCCUGCUUCUCCCUCUCCCACUCCCUUCCCUGCUUGUGUUCCCUCUCUCGCUAUGUCUCUCUGUCAGAUAAAUAAAUAAAAAUUAUAUAAAAUGUGACCUUGAUAAAAUUUUGGAUUGGGAGUUUACUAUUAGGAUCAAACUUCAGGGGCACCUGGGUGGCUCAGUUGUUAAGCGUCUGCCUUCGGCUCAGGUCAUGAUCCCAGGUCCUGGGAUUGAGCCCCACAUCGGGCUCCCUGCUCAGCAGGAAGCCUGCUUCUCCCUCUCCCACUCCCCCUUCUUGUGUUCCCUCUCUCACUGUGUCUCUCUCUGUCAAAUAAAUAAAAUCUUUAAAAAAAAAAAUAUAUAUAGGAUCAGACUUCACCCAUUGUAUUCUGAGCAUUGUUGGAAGCAUUGUAGUGUGAAAAGGAACAUAUGGUGCAAUCAACAGGGCUAUAGGAAUAGAGAUAGUAGUUUAUCCCACUGGGACCUGUACUUGGCUAGAAAUAAAGUGUCACUAGAACAGAAGAAUGUUCUUAAAUUUGUAUCCCUAGCAUUCAGUUGCGUACGUAGCAGGCGCUCCAUAAAUGUUUGUCGUAUUGUACAUAAUUGAUCGGAAAGAUUUCUAGCACAGAUAGUCAGAUGGGAUUAGAUAGAAUGGGUAAGAACUUGGGAAGGAUAAUGGUUUGGCAGGAAGACAAGAAUAUAUGUUCCAAAUGUGCUUAUAGUUUUAUAUAAAAUCACUGAAAAUCUGUAAAGAGAAGCCAAAUUGUUACUUUACUUCUGAAGUAUUAUGUGGAUUGUGUGUAUACAUACAUGUACAGGUAGAGGAAGAGGCAGUGGGGAUACAGUUCUGUUCCCUAAAGCAUGUUGGAGGCAGUGCUCGAUAAGUACUUUCAUAAGUGCAUUUCCUAUGUUCUACCAAAGGUAGUGAUUUGCUUUGACUGUAUCCUGAGCUUAGGAGGCAUGGAUGGUCUCAAUACAUUUUAGAAGUUCUCUUUUUUUUUUUUUUUUAAUUUUAUUUAUUUAUUUGAGAGAGAGAGAAUGAGAGACAGAGAGCACGAGAGGGAAGAGGGCAGAGGGAGAAGCAGACCCCCUGCCGAGCAGGGAGCCCGACGCGGGACUCGAUCCCGGGACUCCAGGAUCAUGACCUGAGCCGAAGGCAGUCGCCCAACCAACUGAGCCACCCAGGCGCCCGUAGAAGUUCUCUUUGAAUACAGUUGAGAAGGGCAAGGGGUAUGUUGACAGUGGUGGAAAGUACAUACUACUCGUUAACCGGAAUGAGAAUUCUGGAAAAAAAAAAAUGCAGAAAAAUGCAAACAUCUUGGCUGUUGAGGCACUUAGCAAAAGGAUGACCAGCCUGUUGUUUUGGUGUUGAGUGAGUAUAUCACUGUUCGUGUAUCACCUUAUUAGAACUCAGAAUGAUGUUGGUGAUGAUGCCACCACCUGGCUUUUGCAAAACUCUUAUUAAUUUUUCUACACGUUAUUUCGUUUGAGCCUUUUAAUGCUGCUGGGUGAUAGGACUGGUAUCAUGUUCGUUAUAUACACGAGGAAACAGAGGCUGAUUGAUCACGACUUCCCCGUACAAAAUGUGCCAGAUGUGGUGAGUGGUACAAGAACUGCGUCCCACACCUCUUGUCUCUAAGAGAAGCACUGGGAGCCCCAGGAAAAUUGAAGCUACAUUUGUUAACCAGUUUAAAGCCCUGGGGAUACUUCAUACUUCUUAAAAAUGUUUUUUUUUUUUUUUCCCCAACUAAUUAAAAUUGGAAUCUGAAGGGACACAGCUUCAGCCCUGCAUUAUAAUUACCUAAGUUUUCCAGCUGGGGUUUUUACUGGGUCACUGUUAAGAAAUACUCCUCCUACUCCUCCUAAUACCAGCGACAGGGUUUGCUGAGUGUAUUUCAUGUGCCAGGUUAUGUUCUAAAUGCUUUUCGUGUUUCAUUUUUCUAAUACCUUCACAAGAAACCCAUGAGCAGUGCUCUUAAUAUCCCUGCUUUACACAUGAAGAAACAAGGUGUAAAGGGAUAGAAGAAUAAAUUCUCCAGGGGCACAGAGCUUUGAUACAGACACAUCUUGGUCUUAAAUUUGGGAUAUUUGGCUACAGAAUACAUGUCCUUACACAACAUACUAUACUACCUAAAAGUUAUAUGCAGUCUCCUUUUUUCUUUCAAAGGGGUGGUUCAAAAGAGCAGUGUGCUCUGGGAGCUGCCAUGGGAGUGGGGCGCUAAAGGGUGUAUCUUUGCCAGAAUAUGGCCGUGUGUCUGUCCUUGUGCCGAAGCACUGAUUGUAAAUGUUUAGGGCAAAGAGUGCUGGACUUGAAGUUAUAUCUGGGUUCAAAAUUUGGCUUCAUCAUUUUCUGGUUAUGAGACACUGGAUAGGUCACUACAUCUCCUGGAGGCUGAUAAUACUCCAGAUAUCUUAGAAAAUUAAGUUAAAAUCUGUGACCAGCUCAGGUGCUGAAUAGUAUUGAUUCUGAAACUGAAUAUUAGAUAUUUCUGUAAAAGGCUCACUUAGUGGUUUCCAGUUCAAAUUAAACAUUUAAUUUAUUUGGGGGCAAACCUGAUAGGAUGCCUGCCCUCAGGCUCACAGGCCAGACCGGAGGAACAGAGACUAGGUCACUGUAGUGAAAUGGGUGUUGUAAGGGCUUGCAUAACUGAUGGCGGAGGAAGUGAGCAAGUCCGGUUGGGUCAUCAGAAAAGAUUCUCAAAGUACAUAACCUUUGAACUUGGACUUGAAGGCUAAGCAGGAUUCUUUGUAAGCAGGGAGAGAAAGAAGGAUGAAGAAGGGAAUUUACGGAGGAGAGUCAACAUGUGCAAAGGUGCUGUGGCAUGAAAGGGCAAAAAGGUGUUUGUGAAUCCUCAGAAGUCCCUGGAUCCAGAGUCUCGGGUAGUCACCCAGGUGGGGGAGGGGCGGUGGUGUGAACAGUCUUGUGUGUCAGGAUCAGGAGUCAGGACUGUAUUCUGUAGGCAAUUAGUUGGUGGUUAGGUGUGCGGGAGUUCAGUUUUAGAAUAUUAUUUUGGCAGUUGAAUAGAAGGUACUAGCAAACCAGGUGAAGGGUGUCACUGUAUUCCUAGCCAGUGUUAACCUUAAGAAAUAAGACUACCAGUUAUUUUACCAGCAAAAGAUGGGUUUAUUUGGGAAUAACAGAGAAUUGCAAUCCAGGACAGGCAAACUAUGGCAAAACCCCAGGCAAGUCCACCAAACAAAGAAGAAGAAUACUCUUGUAGAAGAAAGUGGGAAGCUGGGAAGACUGUCAUAAACAAAAAGUCUAUUGGAGUAAACUGGAAGUUCCUUUUUUUUAAGAUUUUAUUUAUUUAUUUUAGAGAGAGAGAGAGAGAGAGAGAGAGCAUGCGCGGGAGCAGGGGGAGAAGCAGAGGGAGAGGGAGGGGAAAGAAUCUCAAACAGCCUCUGCCCUGAGCACAGAGUCCUGUACCAGGCUCCAUCCUACCACCCUGAGAUCAUGACCUGAGCUGAAGCCAAGAGUCCGAUGCUCAACAGACUGAGCCACCUAUGUGCCCCUAAACUGGGAGUUCUAAGUUAUAGUGGCUUUUCAUUGGUUGAGCUGGGCCUGUCUCUCAUUGGCUGGGCUGUUGGGGCAGGAGGAAGCCUUCCUUCUUCCUGCUGGAAUAGUAAAGUAGUAUCUGUGUGCAAGGUCCUGUCUCUUCCUGUUGGGUCUGCAAUUAACUACGAGAGUGGUAGCGCAAGAGAGUUCCCCCUGCCCCCAACCCUCCCAACUCCCAUUUUAGUGAGGUUUCCCUUUAUUAAUUUUCACACCAGAGGUGGGGUGCUGGGUUCCUGAGAGACCACUGGGUUACAGUGUGUCAGAUGUCAGGGGUGGGGGGGAUCUGAGGGUAGAGAACAGUAGAGAAGGACUUUCAGAUUGCAUGGAAAAGGAACUGGGAUAGAAAAUCUAGAAAGAAGACCAGAUGAGGGAGGGAGAUAAUGAAUUUAGUUUGGGGUAUGUCACAUUUGAGGUCUUUCCAGUUGUCCAGAGCUGUAUAACAAAUCAUGUUAAAACCUAGUGGUUUAGGGGUGCCUGUGUGGCUCAGUCAGCUGAACGUUUGCUUUCGGCUCAGGUCAUGAGCCCGGGGUCCUGGGAUCGAGCCCCCUCAUUGGGCUCCCUGCUCCGCGGGGAAGCCUGCUUCUCCCUCUCCUACUCCCCCUGCUUGUGUUCCCUCUCUCACUAUGUCUCUCUCUGUCAAAUAAAUAAAUAAAAUCUUUAAAAAACAAACAAACAAACAAAAACCUUAAAAAAAAACUCAACCUAGUGGUUUAAAAUAACAGCCUUUAUUAUGGUCAUAGAUCUGUCAUUUGGGCAGGGCUUGGUGGGGACAGCUUGUCUCUGCUCAGCCUCAGCCAGGGCGGCUUGAAGUAUGAGGCGGGGAUCAUCUGAAGGCUUACUCACUCCCUUGAGGGGCAGUUGUACUGGGAAGACCCAAGCAGUAGGGGCUUCUCGACAUCCGUCUCUAUCUGCAUGGUCUCCAGAAAAAAAAAAAACCCUGUUUGAUCGUUAUUUGCUUGCCUACGUUGAGUAUUGCUUUUCGCCAGAGGCUGUGCCGUAGACCCUGCCUUCUUACGUGUUGCCUACGGGCUCCCAAGGUGUGACUCCUAAGAGAGAGGCAGGCAGAAGCUGUGUGGCUUUUUAUGACUUAGCCUCGGGCAUCACCUCCUCCACAUUCUGUUAGAAAUGUGCCUCGAAGGCCAGCACAUAUUCAAGGAGAGGGAGGUGAGACUCCACUUUUGGUGGGAAGAGUGUCCGUGACUGUGUGCACGUGUUUUAAAACCACUACCCAGUUCUCCUGGGACGUUUAUGUGGGUAGGUUUGGGAGUGAAAUACGGAUCUCUAAGAGAAGGAGUGGGGCAGGAUAUCGAGGUUUGGGAGACAUGUGAUAUUGGAAGCUAUUAAGUUGCUGAGAUGGUCCAGGAAAAAAAUGUGGAGUAAAAGGAGAGCAGAACUUGGAUGUUGAACAUUUCAGGGCUGGGAGAGGAAGGUGAGUUAAGCCACAGGGAGUUCAACUUUCAAGGUCUGUGGAGAGGCCAAGGGGAUUGGGCGGAAAGAGUAGAUAUUGGCCUGUGCUUGACUACCCAUGGUCGGUAAUGCUGAGAGAUUCAGGCUCCGUGGGUUGGGGUGGGGUGGGCUUUGCUUGCCUGUAUUGAGUGUUGGUUUUUGUUUUUGAGCACAGAGGGGGUGGUAGCUUGACCUUUGUGCGCAUUUGUAAAAUGAGGGAAGAAACCAGAGGCGGGGGAGAGUAACUGGCUUAGCUGUUACUCUGUAUAUCACUGGUUUUAGUUAAGAUGCUUUUAAUGCAAAGUGUAUUUUAAUAGUCAUAUCCUAGAGUUUGACCUUCAAGGAGCUCAAGUCUGUGAGCAAUAAUUCACUUUAAUGGUAACAGCCUUGCAGAGAAGAAGUACUUACUAAAUAUUUGCAAAAUGAAAGUGUAGUAUUACACAUUCUCUGGGUGGUUUGAGAGCCAGAGAAGCAAUUUUGCCUGGAGGUUACAUUUGAGCCAAAUCCUGAUGAUGAUGAUGAUGAUGAUUUUUUUUAAACUGGUGAUUUCUCAGGGCAAACCUGAAGUUGUGAGUGCUCACAAACCUGAAGUUUGUGUCUCAGCUAUGGGAUUCAUGUGUGCAGCAUGUCUGGAUUUGUCAAAUAUUCUCACCCAGGUUCUCUUAAGAAACGAUUUUCAGUCCAGAGUGGCAGGUCCCAAACUGGAGUCCAUCAGUUAUUUCUCUCGGAUCGUUGUUGGAAGGGAAACCAUACCUUUCAAUCGGUUCUUCCGGUGAUUUUUAAAUGGAUUGCUCAUUGCUUCAGGGAUUAAAUGAAAAUUUGGACUAAUAGUAAAGAUAACAUAACAGGUUUCUCUUGGUUUAGGGGCUUUUAUUUUUCCCAGAAUUAUAAUCCGUUCUCAAAUUUCCUCUUUUUAACCUCCAGAAGGGACUCCAGCCCUGGGACUCUUGCUGUUUUGCUGGUUUGCCUCUGGCUGGGGCUUUGGUCACUGCAGUUGGUCUGAUGACGUUUUCCUAGUCUGAUUAUUCUAUUUAUAAUGGCAACUGUAGCUGUUAAGUUUGAAAAGCAGUGAACUCUGCUGAAACAACCAACUUUUCAAAGUGCACUGGAUAACUUUGAUAAUUCCCUAAAAUCCAAAGUGAAGCGUAAACCUCAAAUCACACAUCUGUCUUUCAGCUCCUCUCAGUUUUCUCUUGGCAUGCUGCAUUUUUCUGUGGGUCUGUCAUCCAGCUUUGCUCUUCCCCCGCCCUUUAGCUUUUCUCUCCUUUCCUGUCUUUCUUCUCCACCGAAUUUCCAUUUUCGUCUUCUCUUUUUAUCUUUCCCUAUUUAGGGCCAUAAAAUGGAACUCAAGAAUUUUUUUGUUCUUGUUCUUUUUAUUUUGCUUUUACUUAAGGGAUUUAUUCAAGAUAUUUUAUGUUUCCUAUUAGUGUUAGCUUUUUUCCUGUGGAAAUAAAAAACCCCCGAGAAACAGAUUUCCUAGUUUGUUCAUUUAUUAUUAAUUAAUUUCAUUGCUUUUGUGACGUUAACUUAUAGGUCUUUCUCUCUUUUUGGCAUGUGUAAUGAUUCAAAGCUUAGAAAAAAUUUCAAAUCAUUAAUUGGGCAUUUUCAAAACUCACACUUUUUAACUCUUUGGGUCUCUGUAUGGAUGCUCGGCAAAGCAGAAACACUUAGAGGCUGCAUAAUUUUUAAAAUUUACUGGAAGAUGAAGAGGAACUUUUGAUUUUUCUUUAUCAAUUAAAGGAAUUGAGGGAAGUGGUUGUUCAUUUGCGGUUCUAAUCCUGUGCCAUUCCAGGGUAUGGGCAUUUGUCACAUUGUCACUUCCACCUUGGACUGGCCACCAAACAUGAGACAUGUUGGCUACCAGCAAGUGCUCCAGCUCCCUGAGCUGAGGAAGAGGCUGUGGGGUGGGUGGCCCCUCCCAUCUGGGCUCCCGGGGGCUUUCACCCACGUUUGCCCACGUGGCACUGUAACAGGAGCCCCCAGGCACUCUGAGAACUCUCCUGCUUCUCUUGACCCCGGGUCCUGUUCACCCAGUCACUCUUUUGCUUUUGGCAAUAAAAGGCAGUUUGGGGAAAUUUUUUAAGUAGGCUCCAUACCCAGCGUGGAGCCCAGUGUGGGACUUGAACUCAUGACCCUGAGAUCAAGACCUGAGCUGAGAUCAGGAGCCGGGAUACUCAAUCGACUAAGCCCCCCAGGUGCCCCAUUGGGGAGUUUUUAAUGUGUGUUCAUUUUCCCAUUAAUACCACUACCUCACAUCUGUAUUUUCUAUGCUGAACAAAAGAAAAAUGUUACUGGGCCCUUCACGGUGCGCCCCGCCACAGAGAAUGUGGUAGUUCUGCCCUUUUCUUUAGAGGUCAGAAAGGUGAUUGGAAGCAUGCAGAAGGUGAGAUGCGGAUGGUUUGGGCCUUUUAGCUUUGGAAGAAUUUGAAAUUCUUAGUUCUUUUCAACCUGUAUCGAGUGGGAAGGAGGAAUUUUAUUUGGCAGUGAUGCUCACAAUCUAUUCAGUGCACCCCUGGUCCUGGCCCCAGCCAAGCAAGUCAGGGCAGCAAAUGCCUUAUUUGAGCCUCCCUUUAGCUCUGCUCAGAUGUACUCUUCCUUUCCCAUCUUAACCAGUGAGGGAGUGUGAAGUGUGGGGGGCUUAAAGAACUACCCAAUAUCCUAUAGUUUACAGUAUUUUACCACCUCUCAAUCAUGUAGAAAGACCUUAUUUUAUUUUACUUUAAUUAAUUUAUUUACUUAGAGAGAGUGUGCACUCCCGGGAGGGGAGAAGGGGAGAGAGCAUCUCAAGCAGACUCCUCGCUGAGUGGGGAGCCCGAUCCAGGCCUCCAUCCCAGGACCCUGAGACCAUGACCUGAGCCGAAACCAAGAGUCGGACGCCUAACCCACUGAGCCACCCAGGUGCCCGGAGAGACCUUAUCUUAAAUGGAUUUGUUACAGACAUACCUUUGCUAAAAUGCAGAUUUAUUUAAUAAUACCAGGAUUUCAACGUAUGGAAUUUUGCCUGCGAAUCUUUGUGCUCACCACGGGUGAGUGAAAUGUUUGGAUGCCAGUCCAGCAGAGCUUUUGGGUCUGUAGUUACAGUCUUGGCGAUUGCUGUUCUGGGGAGAAGGCCACGCUGGGAUGUGGAAGUGCUGGAAACGAAGCACUCCCCUCACCCCUGUCUGGCCUGCCUGGGGAAGCUGGAACACCUUUUGAGGAAUUAGUUUUUCCCUUCCAGCAGAAGCCAGUGGGCAGCCCCCCUGGGGCUUAUUGGGAAGCAGCUACGGCUGUCAUUCACUUCCUUCUGUGACCUGGCAUCUUGAGGUUCAAGCAGCUGUACUUAGUGUGUUUGGUCUUUUCUUGUGCUUUGUAGUAAUUCUUCACCAUUUUUUCCCCCAUAAAUUAAACAUCAUCUUAGUAGGUGAAAAUGUGUAAAAGCAAAGCAGUAAAACAUUUCUUUUAAGUAAAAAGGCCUAGAGAUCCCUGUCAUCUUCAGCACCCUUCUCCCACAUUGAUUUGUCUGUGUCCCAGCAUCAUCCUUUCUUUGAAAAUACCUGUUAAUUAAGGGACACAUAUACUACGGGAAACAUAAGCACAUUUUAAUGAAAGUAAAAACCUAAGUACAGACCUCAUUUCCUGUAUUCACUAACAUUUGUCCGCUUGCCCUCCCCCCUCUCCCCUGCACACACCCUGUCCAGUCACUAUUCAGGUUCUUAAUCACAAGCAUGGACUCGAAACACAGGCUGCUUUCUUUGGCAGGCCUUCAGGAUAUCAAGUUUCCUCUGUUCAAAGGGAACCCGAGACCUGCUUGUGCCUGACUUCUUUCACAGAAGAGAUCUUCUUUAAAGCUGGAUUUGCCAGUCACAGUUUUGGAUAUUAAAUGCAGUUGGUGUUGGGGGGGUGUGGGUGUUGAGGAAGGGAGCAUUUCGGACCUUGACCGGGAGCUGCAGCUGCCUUCGGUGGCUUCAUGGCAGCCCAGGGGCGGUUGGCUUCCGCCCGCGUGAUUCUGUCAGUCACUGUUGCAGGCUGGCCUGGUCCUCCCGCCCUCCUCCCCCCCCAAGGUCAAGGCUGGCCCCUCAUCUCCGGAUGGAGCUGGAGCGGGGAGUGGGGAAGGAAAAACAUGUUCAGGAUUGACCUGCUUCUGAGGUGUGCAGCAGUGGGGGAGGUAGAGGCAGGUUCCUGAGUAUUCAGGAAUGUCUGUUCUAGAAGGUGCCCCAGGAAGGGAGAGGCCUCCCAGGGUUGCAGCAUUCUGUUAAAGUAACAGAGAGGUGCAGGGCUCUUGUUUAUAUUGCAGGCUGCUUAUCGGUCAGUGCUCAGGCCUUGAAGGCCAUUCUACCCCGUCUGGCUUUUAACUGGCUUCCUAACUCAUUUAGGAAUAGAUCUGUUACAGUGGGGGCAUGUUACAAAAUGAUCUCUUCAUAUAACUUACACCUUACACUGUGGUCUUUUUCUCAAGUUUUAAAUCUGUUCUCUUUAGAGGUAAAUCAUGUUUUUCUUUAUUACUUUUGAUGUAGUGCUAAAUCUUUUCUUUUUAAAAAACUGGAUAUUUCUGUUAUAUGAGGCUAUAACUUUUUGUUUCAUCUUCUCUAGGUAAAGGACACAAGCUUCUAAAUGGAUGUAGCUAAAAAUUUGGUCUUGUUAAAGGAAGAAAAAUUGGCUGAAUGGUGGGAGAUGAGAAGGAAAACUGUGCUUGCUUUCAGGCUAAAAAGGGAUGAUUUUUCUCUGUACCAUGGAGAAGCAUGGCCCAGAUAAUUGAAUGGCACACAGCUGUUUCUUUGUAGGCCUGCAGUCACUUUGAGCAUGGGGUUCUGCUUGUGUCAAAGAACAAGUGGGUUGUGAUGAUCUCGCAAUAUCCAAGAGAAUAAAGCUUGAAACUGAAGAAGCUGAUGUUCCCAAAACCCAGGAGUGAGAAUGUACUCUUAUUUUGCUUUUUCUCUUCAGUGAAACUGAAGAGUACUUGCUAUAGAGAGUGAAACUUCUUCUUGAUCUCUUAUCGCAAAGUUAAGGUGGCUGUCCAGCGUACAGGAGUUGACUGUUGCGCACGCUCUGAGAUCAGCUGAACUCACUGAGACACUAGUGAGAGUUCUGAACAGGGCUCCCCCAGAAUAGAGUGAACCUCGUCCUCCUCCUCCAGGAGAACUUCAGCAGAGCCUAAGACAGUUGUACCUUUGGAACCUCAUGUGAUGUGUGGAAACAAAUUAAAAAGUAACCCACAGAGUAAGUCAUUACGGUGUUAAUUCUUUCCAAACAACCAAGAUCUAAGGGGCUUAUUAGGUUUUAAAUAGAUAAUAGUGCUUUAUUAGAUUUUUUUUUUCUGUUACGACUUACUGGAUGAGAUGCUGAAGGGAUUUAGAUGACCUAAAAAAAUUGAAAACCCUUCGGUUUGAUUAAAACGGGCACUGAACACCAUGUGGAAGGCAGUUCCACAGCCUCAAGGAACCAGUUGUGGGUUUAUUUCAGUGAACCUGAUAGAAAAGGUAUUUUGAAGAAAGGGCAAUAGGCUCUAAACCAUGUGUGCAUCCUGUAAACUUCCCCCCAAGACCACUAUCUUGAAACCUAAUAAAUAUUUAAUAUAAGGGGAGGCAUCUGAGGCUUUUGCUAGUGCUAAGGGGCUUGCUGCAGUUGCUAUGGAAAAGCUCGUGCUGGUCUCAGCUGUGUGACAAGGACACUGUAGACCUUUCAGGAAGGGGAGCAGGAGUGGAGGGUCAGUGAACCUCAGUGAGCUUGAAGAGCCCUGUUGGUUCUGAUGAGUAUUGAUCAGUUUCUUUAUGGUUUCCCAUAUUGUAAAAUGUCUGCUGUUUUUUACUGUUCAGUAUUUUUUAAAGUCCUUAUUUUACUUGGAAUUUGGCUUCCAUGUUGCAGAAUCCUAACCUUGUAUGUUGGUAAAAUUAGGAUGUAAUUUAGUUACUAAUUAUUUGUAUUGUUAUCAUGAUAUUCUUCAUAAUAGAGAAAAGGACAAAAUACUACACAAAACGUUUGCCUGACAAGGAUUAUUUUCAUUUGAAGAAACAUAAAUGACCUGGUUGGUUCUGACCGUUCCUUGAACUUGUUUCUUUAAAGCUAAUUACAGAAUUUGUUAUAUAUAACUUAAAUAUUGGAGUCUUUUCCAUGGAAUUCACCUUACAGAGUAGUCUGCAAAUAAACUGUGACUUUUAUGAUUGUUUAAAAAUUUAAUAUGUAUGUUUCAUGAAUGAGAGCAUAAAUAACAUUUUUUUGAAAAGUGUUUUGUUUUUUUGUCUGCUCUGGUGCUUAAUACGGUGGAAUGUAUUAGAAUCUUAAUAAACAUUUAACACGUGUACUUCAUGUUGAAAGUGGAACUAUCCAAUCUUCAGUAGGUUUAUUAAUCUUUAUAUACUCUUAGUCCCUAGCGUAGGUUUUUGUGAUACCUGUAAAUUCUAGAAAUGAUAAUUUUUGGUUGAUUGAUCAGUUGGUUGUUUUUAAUGUGGCAGACAUUGCUAACUAUGAAGCUGAAAAAAAAGAAUUAGCCUGGGGGCACCUGGGUGGCUCAGUCGUUAAGCGCCUGCCUUCGGCUCAGGUCAUGAUCCCAGGGUCCUGGGAUCGAGCCCCACAUCAGGCUCCCUGCUCGGCGGGAGGCCUGCUUCUCCCUCUCCCACUCCCCCUGCUUGUGUUCCCUCUCUCACUGUGUCUCUCUCUGUCAAAUAAAUAAAUAAAAUCUUUAAAAAAAAAAAAAGAAUUAGUCUGGACUGUGCUUAUGGGUGGCCUGUUGCUAAGUUUUAAUGAGUUCAAAGGGGGGGAUGUGUGUUCCAGAAAUAACCAAACCUUUUUUUUUUUUUUUUUAAGACUUUAUUCAUUUAUUUGAGAGAACAAGCCAGGGGGAAGAGGCAGAGGGAGAAGCAGACUCCCCGCCGAGCAGGGAGCCUGAUGUGGGGCUCAGUCCUAGGACCCUGAGAUCAUGACCUGAGCUGAGGGCAGACACUUAACCAACUGAGCCACCCAGGAGUCCCCAAAGUAACCAAACUCUUAAAUUGGAGCUGUAUAUGGUAUAUAAGUGAAUUUGAAGGUUGUCUUUCCAACCCUAGAGCCUCUUUUUUUUUUUUUUUAAGAUUUAUUUAUUUAUUUUAGAGAGAGAGUGUGAGCAGGGGAAGGGGCAGAUGGAGCUGGUGGGGGGAUGGGUAGAAUCCUCAGGCAGAUUCCCCUCUUGAGUGUGGAGCCUGAUGUGGGCCUGGAUCCCAGGAUCCCGAGAUCAUGACCUGCUGAAAGCUAGAGUUGGCUGCUUAACUGACUGAGCCACCCAGGUGCCCCACCUAGAGCCUCUUUUGGGAAUUAUAGCAACAAAGGCAAAUAGAGAUGACUUGACUUUGGGUCCUCGUGUUAGGGUUUAGACCCUCCUAUUUGGGGCACAGCUCCUGAAGGCUGGCUCCGGUGAGGGGAAGAGAAGGGAAUGAGAUACCAAGCAGCCUUCUAGAUGUUUCACAUGAACUUGUACAUUGUCUCAUUUAGUCCUUUCAAAAGCUGCCUUAGUAAGUUACAGUAAUUUGCAGGUGGGAAAUGUGAAGGCCCAAGAAGUGGAUGCUUCGUUCCUUGGUCUUAUGGUUCCUAAAUGUGGAAUCAAGAUACAAUCCAGAUCAGUUUGUGCUCUGUGACCACUGCCAUCAGCUGCUGGGAGUCAUUGCAGCUGACUUGGGGGGUGGUGUUCAGUUGACUCCUGAACCACCUGCUUUAUCUCAUUUCCUCUGUGAAUGUGUGAACGCAUGUUUCCAUCAAUUCCGUCAAUGAUUCCUCCUCCUCCAUUCUCUUCUGGAGGGGUUAUAAGAGAAAGUGUAGGGGUAGGGAAAGUUCUGCCCGGGACCAGUCUGUUUUUUGUUUUUUGUUUUUUUUUUCCUUUUUCCUCUUUCUCUGACUCUCCCCAUUUUCCAAACGUGGUCCCUGACUACAGCAGGCCCUCUCCACAGUUAAUCAAGUUUUUAUUACUGGGGAUCAGCCCAACCCUAACUAAUGGCCAGUAAUAUCACUCCCUAGUUUUUUCUGUACACAGAUGUGGGAUGGCUGAGAAUCCUUGAUUUGACUAGGCCAGACUGGUGUUAAUGAGAAGAUGGAGACCUAAUCUGUGCCUUGGGGAGCUAAUGGCUUGUCUGGGAUGCAGGCCUCUGAGCCUUCACUGUACCAUAAGACGGACUGACCUCAUUGUUAAAGUGACUCACACAAUUUGAAUUAAGGGAAAGGAGUAAGUAAUUCUGGUGAGGGAGAAUCCAAAGCAUUUUCACAAAAGAUAAGCCCCACUGGAUCUCAAGCUUUAGAAUUUUGAUAGGUCAGCUUAGGAAAGAAUAUUCUAGAUAAAGGUGAUAUGGAGAUUGCCUUACAUAUGGUAACAAAUUCAUAUAUAUUUUUUUGUUGCCUAACAUAUUAUCCUAAAACUUAGCAGCUUAAAAAAAAAAACCAAACAUUUGUUACCUUACACAGUUUCUGAAGGCCAGGAAUCUGAGACUGGCUAGCUACAUAGUUCUGGCUCAGGGUCUCUCAUGGGUUUGCAGUAAAGCCGUUGGCUGGAGCGUUAGUCAUCUCAAAGCUUGACUUGGGUAGUCUUUGGCAGGAGGUAUCAGUUUCUUACUCCAUGGGCCUUUCCAUAAGGCUGCCAAUGACCUAAUUUUCAUCGAUCCUACAGAGAGAGAACCCAAGAGCUGUAUUUUAUUGGUCGUACAGAUUGUCCCGGGUACAGGUGUGUGACUUCCAGCAAUCAGUGAAGCCGUCUUGGAGGCCAUCUUGUGGGUCACCAUAGAGAUGACCUGGUGUGUAAUGUGUGUGUGGAAAAGGUGCAGAGCCUCUGUACCUGGAACUUAGGCAAUGAGGAGUGAUAUCUGGGAGGUGAAGUUGAUGUUGAUGUGGUGUGAAUUCCAUGAGAUUGAAUGUGAUGUGGAAUUAACCUUCAAACAGCUUAGUCUAGUAGGAGUUAUAUUUUGUAUGUAUGAUCCCAGGUGGAAGGCAAAAUGCGUACAGAGGUAUGAGUUAUAAAUAUGAGAGUUCAGAGGUUAUUGCUAGUGGGAAGCAGAGUCAGAUUUGUUGGAGAGGUGGGGUUUGUGUUUGAAGGAAAUGGUCCAGGUGUUGCUCACAUUGAGGUGAGGUGGUGUGGUUCAUCGGCACCUUAUAAUGCUGUGGACUGCUGUUAAUCUCUUUAUUGGUUUAUUCUUCCUGCCAGGAUGAGAGAACCUGUAAUGAAUACUGGAUUUUAAGGUUAAAUUUGAGGAAAUUUCACUAGUUGGUUUGAUAGUGUUGACCCCUCCAACUUUUUUCUAUUUUUGAGGAAGAAUGGCGGAUGAUAGAAAUGGUUUAAUUUCUUUUUUUUUUUUUUAAAGAUUUUAUUUAUUUUAUUUGACAGAGAGAAUGAGAGAGAGAGCACAUGAGAGGGGGGAGGGUCAGAGGGAGAAGCAGACUCCCUGCUGAGCAGGGAGCCCCAUGCGGGACUCGAUCCAGGGACUCCAGGAUCAUGACCUGAGCCGAAGGCAGUUGCUUAACCAACUGAGCCACCCAGGCGCCCCAGAAAUGUUUAAUUUCUUUGAGUACGGAGCACUAACCAUUUUAUUUAUGUCGUAUAAAAUUUGUUACCAUAUGUAACCAGUGCAUAUAAAAAUAGAGUACCUGUGGGGAAGUGUGUGUGUGUGUGUGUGUGUGUGUUAUCUAACUGAGCAUCAAUGUUCUGUGUCCUGCACUGAGGUGGUUUUCUGUAACUAUAGGGGGAACCUUCACCAUCGUUACCCACAAUAGAUUACUUUUCAGAAUUCGUUAAUCCCUUCAAGGCCAUUAAAGGCUUAGUGACUAAUGAGUAAACCCACUGAAUACUACCUUAUUUUCUGAAAAAAAGAGUUAAUGUUCCCGGAAAAGGUGAGCUGUUUUCUCUGGUUAACAAGGUGGAGCCGGGUGUUCCCAAUGGUUCAGGCUAUAAUAAGCGCUUGGUGAAUAAGAAACGAUGUUAUUCUGGAGACAGCUGUUAAGUAAUUAGAAUUUACCUCAUUUUAAUUAAAAUAUUCUAACUCUAACCUGUCUUCGCAACCGUUGAGCAAGGCACAGGUACUUCUUGUCAGUCAGGUUCCAUUACCAACUCUGAGGGUGACCUCAGGGGAACCUAGGAUUUGGGUUUAGAGAGGGCUCACGUUCUCUCCACUAAACAAAGAACAUUUACCCAGGCCUUUGAAUCAGUGUCCGUGUGUCACAGCUGGACCAGUGCUGACAAAAUCUCCAGGGCCUUUGCGUAAAACAAAGGCAUGUUUUGUUGUGCGGAGAACAUAAAUAGGCUUCUUUUCUUUUCUUUUUCCAUUCAGAUAUGAAAUUGGAAUUGCUUAAUGGUAACACACAGCCUUCUCAUCGAGCUGCUUGUGUACUUCUCCCGUGACGGAAUAGUGAGAAAGUG